AAUUAUUUUUCUUAAUAUCUUAAUAUGAAAAUUAAUAUUGCUAGCAGAAUACACACAAGAAGAAAAGUAACUGCACUGGAUUGCAACGACUGAGGUGGACCUCUUUCUUAAUGUCCAGUGUCCUGUGUCAUAAGAUUUGGUGCAAUAAGU